CUAAUGUGGAUAUCCUGGGAGGUAACUCUCCCCAGACUUUGUCCAGGCUGCAUAGGGGAGUACAGGGCUCUGCUCCAUGAUGUACAGUCCCUUGUCACAACAUUGCAGAAGAAGCUUGGCCUUGUGUCUGUGCCUGCAUAUUCCUAUGACUGUUCAGAGUCCUCUGGGCAAUGACUGAGAGGAUAAACUAUGCAGGAAACAAUG
ensembl:snoRNA SNORA73 Small nucleolar RNA SNORA73 family